AUUUUUAAGAUUUUCUAUUUUUUUAAGAGAAUAAAAAAGUUAAAUUUUAAAUGACACAUGUAAACAUCUGAUCGUUUGACUUGACACGUGGCACGGUCCUAUGAGUUAAAAACUUUGAAAACCAUACUUUAUAUAAUAAGAUUCUAUUUUUU
rnacentral:sRNA from 1 species